GGAAAGGGAGGUGGGUUCGGUUGGGGGAGGGGGUGUAGAAGGAGGAGGAGGGAGGCGCGACGCGCGGGAUGGGAAAGGGAGGUGGGUUCAGUUGGGGGAGAGGGUGUAGAAUAGUUAUAUGGUCCGCUGCGUCGCCGACCGGUUCCCGGGCCUCACCGAUGUCUUCCUCGACCACGGCCUCUACAUCGCCGCCGGCGCCUCCGCCGCUGCCGCGGAGCGGAGCAGGGCACAAGAUUGGGAUAACGAAAGCCCCAAGUCAGAUGAGCAACAUAUGCAGUGUUCCACACCAAGUGAAGAUACGCAAGAAGAAAAUGGCAGUGACGGUGUCAACCCAACCUCAUUUACUGAUGCUGGGCUACUUCAUCUCAUUGAGGGAUAUUUAAGUUUUAAUGUCUUGAGGGUUGCAAAGGGCUUGAAAAGCUGACUCUAAACUGGUUUUUGCACAUUUCUGAAAAGGGGCUAGGUGGGAAUUGCAAAUCAUUGCCGGAAUCUGCAAUCGUUAGUGCUUUCGGUAAUUUCUUGUUAGUUGUACUUGUUCUGUUUUCUUUCGUGCAUUCAAUAUUGUUUCACAUGUAGCAUGAUCUGCUUUCAUUUCCAAGGCGGGAAAAUCUUUCAAACUAUGAAGAAAUUAAUGCUUCCUUAUGGUGAAUGGUGAUCAUAGAUGCCUCUUUUAUUUUAACUAUUUUUUCGAAUGAAACUUGAGGAUCAUAUUGUAGCAAUAGUGAGUUCCGUUGUGGUAAUGGUCUCCUUUUUGAGGUUUAUCAUUGUUCAAGCCAGCAGUUCAUGUUGUAAACUUUGCAUUGAGGUUUCAUUUCAUGCUGAUAUUUAGUGUUGUAUUCCCCCGAGUUUCAUUGUUUAUUGACAACAUUUCUUACAAGGUGGUUAUGUUCAAAACCAUGGGUUGAUUACUCUGGCAGAGGGUUGCAAUCUUAGUGAAUUAAAGCUGUGUGGUGUUCAAGAGUUGACGGACGAAGGACUGGUUGAAUUUGUAAAGAUACAUAGUAAAUUAUUGGUCUCUCUUGAUAUUUCUUUCUGCAAUGGUUGCAUUACAGACAGAUCCCUGUAUGCUAUUGGAACCUACUGCCAUAACUUGGAAGUCCUAUCCGUGGAGUCCAAGCAUGUUAAUGAAAACAAAGGAAUAAUCUCUGUUGCAAAGGAUGCCAAUAUUUGGAAUCCUUAAAGAUGGUAUGGCUUGGUGUCGGCGACGAAGCUUUAGAAGCUAUUGGUUCAUCUUGCUCUGCAUUAGAAAAUCUGUCACUUGACAACCUUAAUAAGUGCUCAGACAGGUAAUAGGUCCAAUUAUUAAAUCUACUGUUGCAUUUUUACAGGGAUGGAAGUAUCGGUGUCUCAUUUCUCUUAGAAAUUUGAUAUAGCUUAUACUGAUACUGCAUUGUGAUGCUUAUAGACUUGAAGAGUAGAAAUGCUGAACCAUUUGUUAACAAUUGUUUUAUAUUUUUUUUAUAUUGAUUUGAACACAUGCUCUUUUCUUAAUUUCAGUAGUGAGCCACCUGAGUAUAAGUUCUAAAUAAUAUGGUUCUGGUAAUUGACAUCGAUGGUGUAUCUUAAAUAUUCUGCCACCGAUAGUGACAAGUUAUUGAAUUUUAGCAACAUUUCUCAUAUCUUCAGUAAUCAACAGUACUUCCUCCAUUUUUUUAUGUGGAGUUGGUUAGUUUAAAAUUGAACUGGUAGAAAAAAAAUCUAAUGCAGUAAGCACAAUGAUUGAUGGAAUAAAUGAACAGAUGUGCCAAUUGCGGUCUCUGAAUGAAUGGUAAUUUACCUCUGAAUGAAUAUUUCAUGUGUUGUUUCUGCUAUUAGGUUGAACAACGGUUUCUUUUUUAUGAGUAUUAUUUUUCAACGUAAUCUGGUUAUUGAUCUACCAAUGGUUCACAUGUAUGGUGUUGGCUUGGGGGUCCAGUCUCCUGCCUGUGAUGUGUGCCAAGAUAGACUACUGCAGAAUACAGCUUAUAAAUACUGGACUGCCGACAUAAUUGGACAAUCCGUUGCUUCCCUUAAUGUAACUUCUGGAAGAAGCUGGACCUAUAACUUAUGGAUGGCAAGAAGUGGCAGUGCUCGGAGGAGGCUGCCCUGGACUCCCAAGUACUGUGAGCACUACAUGCCCGUUAGAUCUGGGGUGAUUGUUCAUUUCUUUUUUUUUUUCUCAAAUGCCAUAUUUCAGUAACCUGCUAUAUACUCUUUGAUUAUUUGAAAAAGUGCAAUUGUCUAACUGAUUGGUGUCAUAUGUAUGCAGUAAUGCCUUUUUA